GGAGAGGUGACCGAGCCCGGUUUAAGGUGCACGACUGGAAAUCGUGUGUACCCCUAAAAAGGGUACCGGGGGUUCGAAUCCCCCCCUCUCCGCCA
rnacentral:tRNA from 1 species